rnacentral:lncRNA from 1 species
UGACAAUCAAUUUCACAUGCUGUUGUGCAAAUGGGAUAGACAACAGGUGGAAAUUAUAGGCAAUUAGCAAGACACCCCCAAUAAAGGAGUGGUUCUGCAGGUGGUGAAUAUAGACCACUUCUCCGUUCCUAUGCUUCCUGCUGAUGUUUUGGUCACUUUUGAAUGCUGGCGGUGCUUUCACUCUAGUGGGAGCAUGAGACGGAGUCUACAACCCACACAAG